rnacentral:rRNA from 1 species
GACGAACGCUGGCGGCGUGCUUAACACAUGCAAGUCGAACGAUGAACCCGGAGCUUGCUCCGGUGGAUUAGUGGCGAACGGGUGAGUAACACGUGAGUAACCUGCCCUUGACUCUGGGAUAACUGCGGGAAACUGUAGCUAAUACCGGAUACGACCCUCGGCGGCAUCGCCAGGGGGUGGAAAGAAUUUCGGUCAAGGAUGGACUGCGCGGCCUAUCAGCUAGUUGGUGAGGUAACGGCGCACCAAGGCGACGACGGGUAGCCGGCCGGGGAGGGUGACAGGCCACGCUGGGUCUGGGACACGGCCCAGACGCCUACGGGAGGCAGCAGUGGAGAAUAGUGGACAAUGGGCGCAAGCCUGAUGCAGCAACGCCGCGUGAGUGAUGACGGCCUUCGGGUUGUAAACCUCUUUUAGUAGGGAAGAAGCGAAAGUGACGGUACCUGCAGAGAAAGCACCGGCUAACUACGUGCCAGCAGCCGCCGCCG